rnacentral:rRNA from 1 species
GAUGAACGCUGGCGGCGUGCCUAAUACAUGCAAGUAGAACGCUGAAGCUUGGUGCUUGCACCGAGCGGAUGAGUUGCGAACGGGUGAGUAACGCGUAGGUAACCUGCCUCUUAGCGGGGGAUAACUAUUGGAAACGAUAGCUAAUACCGCAUAAAAGUCGAUAUCGCAUGAUAUUGAUUUGAAAGGUGCAAUUGCAUCACUAAGAGAUGGACCUGCGUUGUAUUAGCUAGUUGGUGAGGUAACGGCUCACCAAGGCGACGAUACAUAGCCGACCUGAGAGGGUGAUCGGCCACACUGGGACUGAGACACGGCCCAGACUCCUACGGGAGGCAGCAGUAGGGAAUCUUCGGCAAUGGGGGCAACCCUGACCGAGCAACGCCGCGUGAGUGAAGAAGGUUUUCGGAUCGUAAAGCUCUGUUGUAAGAGAAGAACGAGUGUGAGAGUGGAAAGUUCACACUGUGACGGUAACUACCAGAA